GAUGAAGAACGCAGCGAAAUGCGAUAAGUGAUGUGAAUUGCAGAAUUCAGUGAAUCAUCGAAUCUUUGAACGCACCUUGCACCCUUUGGCAUUCCGAAGGGUAUGCUCGUUUGAAUGUCAUUGUACUCUCACUCUCCCGAUCUUUGGAUCGGGAGUGGUGGACUUGGGUGUUGCUGCUUUACCGUGGCUCACCUCAAAUGGAUUCGUGCAACUCCUGGUUGGACAUAGUACGGCGUGAUAAGUGUCUUCGCCGGCACCUCACUAGAGGGUGGCUGACCGGGAGCUCUGUGCUUCAAACCGUCUUCGGACAACAACUGACAACUUGACCUCAAAUCGAGUAGGACCACCCGCUGAACUUAAGCAUAUCAAUAAGCGGAGGA
rnacentral:misc_RNA from 1 species